rnacentral:RNase_P_RNA from 1 species
CAAGUCGACCAGGCGGUCGCGGUCUAUGCUACGCAUAGGUCGAGGAAAGUCCGGGCUCCAUAGGGCACGGUGCUGGGUAACGCCCAGGCGGGGGCGUAUCUACGGAUACGUUACCCGCGGAAAAGGGCCACAGAAAAGCAGACGGCUCCCCCUCCCUGGCCCUCCCCCGCUUGCGGGGGAGGGGAUGGGUGGGGGCAGCAAGGGUGAAAAGGUGGUGUAAGAGACCACCGGCGCGCGUGGCGACACGGGCGGCCAGGCAUCCCCCAUCGGGAGCAAGGCCAAGCAGGAGCGACGGGGCGGCCCGUCCCAUUUGAGCUCCGGGUAGGCCGCUGGAGGCGGCGGGUAACCGCCGUCCUAGAUAGAUGACCGCACCCAAUCAUAGAUUGGUACAGAACCCGGCUUAUCGGCCGGCUUGGGUG